GGGAGCCCAGGCAGAGGAGGCGCUGAGAGCGAGCGAGGGGUGUGAGGACUGCCAGCACGCUGUCACCUCUCACUUGGAUCCUGCAUAUGUACUUGGUUCAGCAGUCACACCUAAAGAUCUUGUAUAGUCUGAAAUUAUUAACGGUCAACUGGGUUUGAAGCUUCUAAAAUCUACUUCAUUCCUUGGAUUAUGGCUUCCCUCUAUCUUCAAACUUCUCUCCAGCUGGCCCUGUGACUUGCUUUGACUAAUAGAAUGUAGCAGAAAUGUCACUCUCCUCUUGUCUCCUGGAAUCUCUGCCUC